GAACGAACGCUGGCGGAAUGCCUAACACAUGCAAGUCGAACGAGACCUUCGGGUCUAGUGGCGCACGGGUGCGUAACACGUGGGAAUUUGCCUCGGGGUAUGGAAUAACUCAGGGAAACUUGAGCUAAUACCAUAUAAUGUCUUCGGACCAAAGAUUUAUCGCCCUGAGAUAAGCCCGCGCAGGAUUAGCUAGUUGGUGGGGUAAAGGCUCACCAAGGCGACGAUCCUUAGCUGGUCUGAGAGGAUGAUCAGCCACACUGGGACUGAGACACGGCCCAGACUCCUACGGGAGGCAGCAGUGGGGGAAUAUUGGACAAUGGGCGAAAGCCUGAUCCAGCAAUGCCGCGUGAGUGAUGAAGGCCUUCGGGUUGUAAAGCUCUUUUACUCGGGACGAUAAUGACGGUACCGAGAGAAUAAGCCCCGGCUAACUCCGUG
rnacentral:rRNA from 1 species